CCUACGGGGGCUGCAGUGGGGAAUAUUGGACAAUGGGCGAAAGCCUGAUCCAGCCAUGCCGCGUGUGUGAAGAAGGCCUUCGGGUUGUAAAGCACUUUCAGUGGGGAAGAAAGCCUUGGGGCUAAUACCCUCGAGGAAGGACAUCACCCACAGAAGAAGCACCGGCUAACUCCGUGCCAGCAGCCGCGGUAAUACGGAGGGUGCGAGCGUUAAUCGGAAUUACUGGGCGUAAAGCGCGCGUAGGCGGUCUGAUAAGCCGGUUGUGAAAGCCCCGGGCUCAACCUGGGAACGGCAUCCGGAACUGUCAGGCUAGAGUGCAGGAGAGGAAGGUAGAAUUCCCGGUGUAGCGGUGAAAUGCGUAGAGAUCGGGAGGAAUACCAGUGGUGAAGGCGGCCUUCUGGACUGACACUGACGCUGAGGUGCGAAAGCGUGGGUAGCAAACAGGAUUAGAUACCCGUGUAGUC
rnacentral:rRNA from 1 species